rnacentral:rRNA from 1 species
AUUGAACGCUGGCGGCAGGCCUAACACAUGCAAGUCGAGCGGAUGAAGGGAGCUUGCUCCUGGAUUCAGCGGAGGACGGGUGAGUAAUGCGUAGGAAUCUGCCUGGUAGUGGGGGAUAACGUCCGGAAACGGGCGCUAAUACCGCAUACGUCCUGAGGGAGAAAGUGGGGGAUCUUCGGACCUCACGCUAUCAGAUGAGCCUAGGUCGGAUUAGCUAGUUGGUGGGGUAAAGGCCUACCAAGGCGACGAUCGGUAACUGGUCUGAGAGGAUGAUCAGUCACACUGGGACUGAGACACGGUCCAGACUCCUACGGGAGGCAGCAGUGGGGAAUAUUGGACGAAGGGCGAAAGCCUGAUCCAGCCAUGCCGCGUGUGUGAAGAAGGUCUUCGGAUUGUAAAGCACUUUAAGUUGGGAGGAAGGGCAGUAAGAUAAUACCUUGCUGUUUUGACGUUACCAACAGAAUAAGCACCGGCUAACUUCGUG